GACGAACGCUGGCGGCGUGCCUAAUACAUGCAAGUCGAACGCAUUUUCUUUCACCGUAGCUUGCUACACCGAAAGAAAAUGAGUGGCGUACGGGUGAGUAACACGUGGGUAACCUGCCCAUCAGCGGGGGAUAACACUUGGAAACAGGUGCUAAUACCGCAUAAUUCCAUUUACCGCAUGUUAAAUGGAUGAACGGCGCCUUUGCGUCACUGAUGGAUGUACCCGCGGUGCAUUAGCUAGUUGGUGGGGUAACGGCCUACCAAGGCUGCGAUGCAUAGCCGACCUGAGAGAGUGAUCGGCCACACUGGGACUGAGACACGGCCCAGACUCCUACGGGAGGCAGCAGUAGGGAAUCUUCGGCAAUGGACGCAAGUCUGACCGAGCAACGCCGCGUGAGUGAAGAAGGUAUUCGGAUCGUAAAACUCUGUUGUUAGAGAAGAACAAGGAUGAGAGUGGAAAGUUCAUCCCUUGACGGUAUCUAACCAGAAAGCCACGGCUAACUACGU
rnacentral:rRNA from 1 species